GAAAUGCGAUAAGUAGUGUGAAUUGCAGAAUUCAGUGAAUCAUCGAAUCUUUGAACGCACAUUGCGCCCUUUGGUAUUCCUUAGGGCAUGCCUGUUCGAGCGUCAUCUAAACCUUCAAGCCCUGCUUGGUGUUGGGUGCCUGUCCCACCUCCGCGCGCGGACUCACCUCAAAUCCAUUGGCGGCCCCCGCGUCGGCCACGAGCGCAGCAGAAACGCGAACUCGUGAGCCCGUCCGGGCGGCUCCCAGAAGCUACACCCACCCAGUUUGACCUCGGAUCAGGUAGGGAUGCCCGCUGAACUUAAGC
rnacentral:misc_RNA from 1 species